GUGCUUACUUCAGCAGCACAUGUACUAAAAUUGGAAUAAUACAGAGAAGAUUAGCAUGGUCCCUGCUCAAAGAUGACAUGAAAAUUCAUGAAGCAUUCCAUAUUUUU
rnacentral:snRNA from 1 species